UAGCCUUGCGAAGUUUGCCGUUUUUCAGUCAUUUUGUAUUACAAACGGGAAAUUGACAUCCGAUUCGGGUGUUGGGGCUGCAAUUUCCCGUUUGUAAUGCAAAAUGACUGAAAAUUGCAAACUUCGCAAGGCUCUAUUUUCCUCAUUUUACAACAUUUCGCAACGAAACUUUGGAAUAUUACUAAUUUUGUGAUGCUCUUUCAAGCUGUGGUGAAAUAUUUGUCUAGACUUGCCUAGAGCAAAAUUUUGGUUAUAAGGGG
rnacentral:lncRNA from 1 species